CGUAACACGUAUGCAACCUACCUUUAAGUGGGGGAUAGCCUGGAGAAAUUCAGAUUAAUACCCCAUACGAUCUUUGACUGGCAUCAGUUGAAGAUGAAAGCUACGGCGCUUAAAGAUGGGCAUGCGAUGCAUUAGCUAGUUGGCGGGGUAAAAGCCCACCAAGGCUACGAUGCAUAGCUGGUCUGAGAGGAUGAUCAGCCACACUGGCACUGAGACACGGGCCAGACUCC
rnacentral:rRNA from 1 species